rnacentral:rRNA from 1 species
CCUACGGGUGACAGCAGUGAGGAAUAUUGGUCAAUGGGCGCGAGCCUGAACCAGCCAAGUAGCGUGAAGGAUGACUGCCCUACGGGUUGUAAACUUCUUUUAUAAAGGAAUAAAGUGAGGCACGUGUGCCUGUUGGUAGGUACUUUAUGAAUAAGGAUCGGCUAACUCCGUGCCAGCAGCCGCGGUAAUACGGAGGAUCCGAGCGUUAUCCGGAUUUGUUGGGUUUAAAGGGAGCGUAGAUGGGUUGUUAAGUCAGUUGGGAAAGUUUGCGGCUCAACCGUAAAAUUUCAAUUGAUACUGGCCGCCUUGAGUACAGUUGAGGUAGGCGGAAUUCGUGGUGUAGCGGUGAAAUGCUUAG